rnacentral:misc_RNA from 1 species
AGAAGUUUGGAAGAGCGUGGCUGUUCCGAGCAUCAUAGCACACAAACAAACAAGAUGCAUAGUAGAAAGAGGGAUUGGCCAACUGAAGAGGUGGUUUCAUGUUCUGCAUGGUGAAAUCAGAGUGAAUCCUAUAAAAACAAGCAAAAUUGUGAUGGUAUGUGCAGCACUACACAACUUGUGUAAAGAAAGGAACCUACAACUGCCAGAUGAUGAACAUGAACAUGAAGACCAGCCUGUGGAAGCCAACCCCGUUCAGCCUCUUCAGCGUGACAAUCUUCAAAACGGUGUCUUAGAGAUAAUUUUAUCAACCUUCAUUUCCAGCAUGAACAGUGAGUGCCGUAUGCCCAGGCAGUGUACAGUGUGCCCAGUCUACUUGGACACCAAGCACGAGACUGUCAAACAUCUUGAUUUGUUCUUUCUCCCAUUUAGCUCUCAACAACUCUCUCUUCCUUCUCCUUUUGUUGUCCAUUUUUCUAGUACAGUACAGUAUUUCCUCGGUCAUUAAUUUUUACCUCUUAUCUUCUUCAACCCUUCCACUACAAUGUAUAUUGGGAAAUAAACUCAAUGUUAC